GUAGUUCAGUUGGUUAGAAUGCCUGCCUGUCACGCAGGAGGUCGCGGGUUCGAGUCCCGUCCAGACCGCCA
rnacentral:tRNA from 1 species